AUUGCUUCUUGGCUUUUGGCCAAGAUCAAGCAUAGUAUCUAUUCUUAUCAGUUUAAUAUCUGAUCCGUCCUCUCUCCAAGGACAACAUAUUUAAUGGAUUUUUGGAGCAGGGAGAUGGAAUAGGAGCUUGCUCCAUCCACUCCAAGCAUCGGCCUGGUAUUGCAGUACGACACAAAAAAAGAAAGAAAG